rnacentral:lncRNA from 1 species
AAAUAAAUAAAUAAUUCAUCUAUUAAAGCUACCUUAUUCAUGAAAUAGAGAUAUAACAACUAACAAAUUAAUCAUUCCAAUCAAAUUCAUGAAUGAAACAAAAUAUAAAAAGAACUUGUCAUAAAAUUACAUCAAAUUCCAUAAAUAAAUAAAUAGAAAGAUAAGGUAAAGUUGAAUACCGCAAAAUCUUAACCGAAGCUCAAUUAGAAUACCCACAAUUUUUUGUAGGUGUGUAUGGUGGUAUAUGUGUUUGUGUUGAUAUGAAAAAUAAUGGGUAAGGAAGAAAAGAUGUGAAUGUGUUGGUGAAUUUUUUUUUUCUUUUGUUUUUUGCGUGUUCUUUUCUGAUUGUGUGUUGUUUGCUGAUCCUUUUUUUUCUUUUUUCUUUCUGUGUCCGUGUAUAUCCCCUAGGAGUAGUAGUAGUGUGUAGGUAUAUAGUGGUGGUGUACGUGUGUGUGUGUGGAGUGUUUUAGUGGGAUGUGUAUAGAAAAUGGGGGAGGGACGUGGGGUUUCCUUUUUGCUGAUGGUUUGUCGUGGGGUUGGGGUAAUGGGAGAUGGGUAUGGGUAGGAGUAGUGGGGCAAGGAUUAGUUGAUAGGUAAAUAAUUACUUUUUUAAAUUAAAUAUAUAUAAUAUAAUAAUAAUAAAAAAUAUAUAUUAGUCAACUAUAUUCUAAAUUAAUAUAAAAACAAAAGCCAAUCUAAAUUUAUAAUUUAAAAAUAUACGAUUAUUUAUUAAACCUAAUUUAGAAGUAAAACAUAUAUAUAUUUUUGCCAUUUUUCAUUACUCUUUAAAACAAUUGAAAAAUAAAACUUAGCCUAAGAAGUGAUUCUAUUUUUGUUGUUUUCAAAUCUUUUAAAAUAAACUUAAUAAAAUAAGAUAAAAGUCAUAAAUAUUUAGUUUAGAUUUAUAAAAUAUUUAAGCUCUAAAAAUGGUGUUAAACUUAAUUUCGGUCAAAAAUUACGUGUCUACAGUGUCAAAAUUAACACAUCUAAAUUUGAGCAACUUCAUAACAUUAUAAUCAAGUAUUAUAUAAUCAUGAAAAUCAAAUUAUAAAAUAAAUGUUAAAUGGUACCUCUUGCGAAAAUCAAUUUACGAAAAGAAAGCAAUCCUAAUAGGGAACCACGAACUCGAAAUCACGAAAGUAAACCUCAAACUCAACCUU